GACGAACCGUGCAAACGUUGUUCGGAAUCACUGGGCUUAAAGGGCGCGUAGGCGGCUUGUCAAGUCCGGGGUGAAAUCUUUCGGCUCAACCGGACAAGGGCCUUGGAUACUGACAAGCUGGAGGAAGGUAGGGGCAUGUGGAACUUCCGGUGGAGCGGUGAAAUGCGUUGAUAUCGGAAGGAACGCCGGUGGCGAAAGCGACGUGCUGGACCUUUUCUGACGCUGAGGCGCGAAAGCUAGGGGAG
rnacentral:rRNA from 1 species